GAUGAAGAACGUAGCGAAAUGCGAUAAGUAAUGUGAAUUGCAGAAUUCAGUGAAUCAUCGAAUCUCUGAACGCUCAUUGCGCCCGCCAGUAUUCUGGCGGGCAUGCCUGUUCGAGCGUCAUUUCAACCAUCAAGCCCCAGGCUUGUGUUGGAGCCCUGCGGCUGCCGCAGCCUCCCAAAACCAGUGGCGGGCUCGCUAUCACACCGAGUGCAGUAGUUUACUCUUCGCUCAGGGCGUGUGGCGGGUGCUAGCCGUAAAACCCCCAACUUCUCAAGGUUGACCUCGGAUCAGGUAGGAAUACCCGCUGAACUUAAGCAUAUCAAUAAGCGGAGGA
rnacentral:misc_RNA from 1 species